GCGCAGAGGAGGGAGAGUGGACAUGAUGGGCGUGGCAGAGUAUAGGAUAGGGUGAGAUGGAGUAGGAGCAGCGCCCUCUGCUGGUGUCUCCAGACUUGGACCGCGGUUUCUCCUCCUGUUUGCUUCGAUCUUUCACUUCCUGUCUGUGCAGGGUGGAAGAGAAGACUGACAGCUGACACCCAGAUGAACAUCAGCCAGGGAAAGUGGAAAGUCACAGCUAUGACAUUGGCAUUUCUGGAUGUUUACACUUCAUAGCUCUGCCACAUGUUGUUUGCACUCCUAAAAUAGAGCACUUUCCUAAGCUGUACAUUAAACACAGCAACACGCUCAGGACGGUCAAUGACAGAGGUCUUUACCUUUUUGUCACUCAGUCCGGACACUGUGUCGAUGUACUGCUCCUGGAUCAUAAAGGCUGCCAGGUUGGCUGUGUAGGAAGCCAGGAAGAUGACAGCAAAGAAAGCCCAGACCAGGACCAUGAUCUUGCUAGUGGUGCCCUUUGGAUUCUCAACAGGGACAGAGUUAUUGAAGACAAUUCCCCACAGCAGCCACACAGACUUCCCGAUGGUAAAGGUGGGACCUCCGGGAUCUAGAAAGGAUGAAGUAAAGAGGGAACGAUUUAGUACCGGCCAAGAUGAUGACCCAAGUAUCUGU